rnacentral:rRNA from 1 species
UUUGAUCAUGGCUCAGAUUGAACCGCUGGCNUGCAGGCCUAACACAUGCAAGUCGAGCGGCAGCACAAGGGAGUUUACUCCUGCAGGUGGCGAGCGGCGGACGGGUGAGUAAUGCCUAGGGAUCUGCCCAGUCGAGGGGGAUAACAGUUGGAAACGACUGCUAAUACCGACAUACGCCCUACGUGGGCGAAAGAGGGGGACCUUCGGGCCUCUCGCGAUUGGAUGAACCUAGUGUGGGAUUAGCUAGUUGGUGAGGUAAUGGCUCACCAAGGCGACAGAUCCCUAGCUGUUCUGAGAGGAUGAUCAGCCACACUGGGACUGAGACACGGCCCAGACUCCUACGUGGAGGCAGCAGUGGGGAAUAUUGCACAAUUGGGGGAAACCCUGAUGCAGCCAUGCCGCGUGUGUGAAGAAGGCCUUCGGGUUGUAAAGCNACUUUCAGUACGGGAGGAACAGGGUGAGUCUUAAUACGGCUCAUCUGUGACAGUUACCUACAGAAGGAANNGACCNGGCUAACUCCGUUGCCAGCAGCCGCAGGUAAUAC